AGUGAACGCUGGCGGUAGGCCUAACACAUGCAAGUCGAACGGCAGCACAGGAGAGCUUGCUCUCUGGGUGGCGAGUGGCGGACGGGUGAGGAAUACAUCGGAAUCUACCUUUUCGUGGGGGAUAACGUAGGGAAACUUACGCUAAUACCGCAUACGACCUACGGGUGAAAGUGGGGGACCGCAAGGCCUCACGCGAUUAGAUGAGCCGAUGUCCGAUUAGCGAGUUGGCGGGGUAAUGGCCCACCAAGGCGACGAUCGGUAGCUGGUCUGAGAGGAUGAUCAGCCACACUGGAACUGAGACACGGUCCAGACUCCUACGGGAGGCAGCAGUGGGGAAUAUUGGACAAUGGGCGCAAGCCUGAUCCAGCCAUACCGCGUGGGUGAAGAAGGCCUUCGGGUUGUAAAGCCCUUUUGUUGGGAAAGAAAUCCUAUCGGUUAAUAACCGGUGGGGAUGACGGUACCCAAAGAAUAAGCACCGGCUAACUUCGUGCCAGCAGCCGCCGUAACAC
rnacentral:rRNA from 1 species